AAAAGAGUGCACUCCUGAAAUUUUGAUAUAGAAGGAGGAAACUUUGGGAUUCUUGGAGAAGCAGGAUAGCAAGAAGAAAAGAGUGCACUCCUGAAAUUUUGAUAUAGAAGGAGGAAACUUUGGGAUUCUUGGAGAAGCAGGAUAGCAAGAAGAAAAGAGUGCACUCCUGAAAUUUUUUGGAUGUUUAGGAUUUUCUUCAGUAAAAAAAAAAAAGCAAAAGACAAAGUAAAAGGCACCUGUUAGAGAAAGAACAUGAUCUUACAUACCAAUAAAGAUGCAGGCUCUGGAAUAUCAGCUUCGGUUGCCAUUUCAUGCAGGACUAGUAGGAACUUUUUCAAGUAUUGAUCUAAGUUCCCAGGUAAACUUAAUAUGUCUAAGUUCUGCUGGAAUCUUUCGUUGCUGCACUUGCCAGACUUUUAAACUUUGAAUAUGUGGAUCAUUAGGUACCUGUAAUAAUCUGCUGAUGGUUAUAUUGCUAAAGUAGACUAGUAAGUGACAAAAUGCCACUUGGUAAUGGUAUAGCUUAUGUGUUGGUGAGUUGUCAAGAUAUGCUAUGGUCCUACUAAUUGACCGACCACAUGACUGGUAACCAAUACAGCUUAUAGUGGAAUUAUACAGUUACGAUGGAUCAAUUAUUCUUAGGCUGAAUUUGAAAUCUUUACAAUGGCAGGAAGAAGCUGCCAGUCUUUCUAACAGUUUUCUUUUUGUCAGGACGUUUUAUAAGUUGUCGUGCGGGGUUCUAACUCCUUUUUCGACUAUAAUUAGUUUGAGAUCAUACUUUUGUUUGACAGUUUUAUGAUCCAAAGAAAGAGUUUCUUUUGUUCCUUACAGAAAGGUAGUACCCUCCACUGUAGAUCAAUGUGUUUGAUCCCCACUGUGAAGACUACGUCUAAGGAAUAAAUUUGUUUUAAU